rnacentral:rRNA from 1 species
CACGUAGGGCGCAAGCGUUGUCCGGAAUUAUUGGGCGUAAAGAGCUCGUAGGCGGCUUGUCGCGUCGUCCGUGAAAACCUGCAGCUCAACUGCAGGCUUGCGGUCGAUACGGGCAGGCUGGAGUUCGGUAGGGGAGACUGGAAUUCCUGGUGUAGCGGUGAAAUGCGCAGAUAUCAGGAGGAACACCGGUGGCGAAGGCAGGUCUCUGGGCAUUAACUGACGCUGAGGAGCGGAAAGCAUGGGGGAGCGAAACAGG